UACGAAGGGGGCUAGCGUUGUUCGGGUUUACUGGGCGUAAAGCGCACGUAGGCGGAUCGUUAAGUCGGGGGUGAAAUCCUGGAGCUCAACUCCAGAACUGCCUUCGAUACUGGCGAUCUUGAGUCCGGAAGAGGUGAGUGGAACUCCUAGUGUAGAGGUGGAAUUCGUGGAUAUUAGGAAGAACACCAGUGGCGAAGGCGGCUCACUGGUCCGGUACUGACGCUGAGGCGCGAAAGCUAGGGGAGCAAACGGG
rnacentral:rRNA from 1 species